rnacentral:rRNA from 1 species
AGCGAACGCUGGCGGCAGGCUUAACACAUGCAAGUCGAACGGGCUUCUUCGGAAGUCAGUGGCAGACGGGUGAGUAACACGUGGGAACGUGCCCUUCGGUUCGGAAUAACUCAGGGAAACUUGAGCUAAUACCGGAUACGCCCUUUUGGGGAAAGGUUGACUGCCGAAGGAUCGGCCCGCGUCUGAUUAGCUUGUUGGUGGGGUAACGGCCUACCAAGGCGACGGUCAGUAGCUGGUCUGAGAGGAUGAUCAGCCACACUGGGACUGAGACACGGCCCAGACUCCUACGGGAGGCAGCAGUGGGGAAUAUUGGACAAGGGGCGCAAGCCUGAUCCAGCCAUGCCGCGUGAGUGAUGAAGGCCUUAGGGUUGUAAAGCUCUUUUGUCCGGGACGAUAAUGACGGUACCGGAAGAAUAAGCCCCGGCUAACUUCGUG